rnacentral:rRNA from 1 species
UACGUAGGGGGCUAGCGUUGUCCGGAAUCAUUGGGCGUAAAGCGCGUGUAGGCGGUCCGGUAAGUCCGCUGUGAAAGUCGAGGGCUCAACCCUCGAAUGCCGGUGGAUACUGUCGGGCUAGAGUGCGGAAGAGGCGAGUGGAAUUCCUGGUGUAGCGGUGAAAUGCGCAGAUAUCAGGAGGAACACCAGCGGCGAAGGCGGCGCUCUGGGCUGGAACUGACGCUGAGGAGCGAAAGCCAGGGUAGCAAACGGG